rnacentral:rRNA from 1 species
AGAGUUUGAUCCUGGCUCAGGACGAACGCUGGCGGCGUGCCUUAUACAUGCAAGUCGAACGCUCUCGGGACUUCGGUCCCAUAUGAGAGAGUGGCGAACGGGUGAGUAACACGUGAGAAACCUGCCCCGAAGACCGGAAUAACUCAAGGAAACUUGGGCUAAUACCGGAUGUCCCCACCGGAUCGCAUGAUCUGGUGAGGAAAUGCUCCGGCGCUUUGGGAGGGUCUCGCGGCCUAUCAGUUAGUUGGUGGGGUAACGGCCUACCAAGACAUCGACGGGUAGCUGGUCUGAGAGGACGAUCAGCCACACUGGGACUGAGAUACGGCCCAGACUCCUACGGGAGGCAGCAGUAGGGAAUCUUGCGCAAUGGGCGAAAGCCUGACGCAGCAACGCCGCGUGGGGGAUGAAGGCUCUCGGGUCGUAAACCCCUUUCAGCAGGGACGAAAAUGACGGUACCUGCAGAAGAAGCCCCGGCCAACUACGUGCCAGCAGCCGCGGUAACACGUAGGGGGCAAGCGUUGUCCGGAUUUAUUGGGCGUAAAGAGCUCGUAGGCGGUUGGGUAAGUCAGAUGUGAAACCUCCAGGCUCAACCUGGAGACGCCAUCUGAUACUGCCCUGACUGGAGUUCGGUAGAGGAGUGUGGAAUUUCUGGUGUAGCGGUGAAAUGCGCAGAUAUCAGAAGGAACACCAACGGCGAAGGCAGCACUCUGGGCCGAUACUGACGCUGAGGAGCGAAAGCAUGGGGAGCAAACAGGAUUAGAUACCCUGGUAGUCCAUGCCGUAAACGUUGGGCACUAGGUGUGGGACCCUGUCAACGGGUUCCGUGCCGUAGCUAACGCAUUAAGUGCCCCGCCUGGGGAGUACGGCCGCAAGGCUAAAACUCAAAGGAAUUGACGG